rnacentral:rRNA from 1 species
CACGUAGGGGGCGAGCGUUGUCCGGAUUUAUUGGGCGUAAAGAGCUCGUAGGCGGUUUCGUAAGUCGGAUGUGAAAACUCCAGGCUCAACUUGGAGACGCCAUUCGAUACUGCGAUGACUUGAGUCCGGUAGGGGAGUGUGGAAUUCCUGGUGUAGCGGUGAAAUGCGCAGAUAUCAGGAGGAACACCGGCGGCGAAGGCAGCUCGCUGGGACGUGACUGACGCUGAGACGCGAAAGCGUGGGGAGCAAACAGG